rnacentral:tRNA from 1 species
UGGGGCAUUAGCUCAUCUGGCUAGAGCGCGACACUGGCAGUGUCGAGGUGAUCGGUUCAAGUCCGAUAUGCUCCACUAC